rnacentral:rRNA from 1 species
AUUGAAGCUGGCGGCAGGCCUAACACAUGCAAGUCGAACGAGUGGCGGACGGGUGAGUAAUGUCUGGGAAAAUGCCUGAUGGAGGGGGAUAACUACUGGACACGAUAGAUAAUAACGCAUACCAUCGGAUGUGCCCAGAUGGGAUUAGCUAGUAGGUGGGGUACAGGCUCACCUAGGCGACGAUCCCUAGCUGGUCUGAGAGGAUGACCAGCCACACUGGACCUGAUCCACUGUCCAGACUCCUACGGUAGGCAGCAGUGGGGAAUAUUGCACAAUUGGCGCAAGCCUGAUGCAGCCAUGCCGCGUGUAUGAAGAAGGCCUUCGGGUUGUAAAGUACUUUCAGCGGGGAGGCGUUACCCGCAGAAGAAGCACCGGCUAACUCCGUGCCAGCAGCCGCGGUAAUUC